CGGAUGUCAGCGUUAGCAAAUGAGAACAGCUCUCAGGGUCUGAGAAGGCAGAGAGUGGAAUAGUCGGCAGCAUUGGAUAAUCCGGACUGGGUCGAGGCAUCAUCUCCGCUCCCUCAGGAACAACGAUAGCCUGAGAUGAGAAAAACACCUCAACAUAAAGAGAGAAUGAGAGUGAGAGUCCAAUGAAAAGAGCUGAUUAUAGAGGUUUUGGGAAGCUGUCAUGAAGGCGGAAGACAACUCUCUCCACAAAGUGCUGGAUGUCACAUGCCUCCGGGCCCCGAACAAACACCAUCCAGUCAUGUGUGAAGCCCUCGGUAGUGACUUUCUUCCUUAACUGGGCUCUGUGUCCCAGCUCCAAUUUCACCUGAACAGUGCACUGAAAUAAGACAAAACUACAGUCAACCAUCACUUUUUCUGAACAGGAGUACUUCAACUGUCUGUCUGUCUGUCUGUCUGUCUGUCUGUCUGUCUGUCUGUCUGUCUGUCUAUCUAUCUAUCUAUCUAUCUAUCUAUCUAUCUAUCUAUCUAUCUAUCUACCUAUAUCUAUAUAUAUAUAUAUAUAUAUAUAUAUAUAUAUAUAUAUAUAUAUAUAUAUAUAUACCCUGACAAAAGUAUUGUCAUCAAUCCCAGUUGUCAGAGUAACAAAUAAUAACUGGAUUUCUAGUUGUUCAUUUGCAAAAGUAGCUGAAGGUAGAUUUUUCAGAUGAUUCAUCUGUUGAACUCCAUUCAAAUCCUUACAAAUACUGCAGAAGACCCAUUGGAACUGGCAUGGACCCAAGAUUCUCACAGAUUCUGUCAAGUUUGGUGAAGGAAAAAUCAUGGUUUGGGGUUACAUUCAGUAUUUGGGCGUGCAAGAGAUCUGCAGAGUUGAUGGAAACAUCAACAGCCUAAUGAACCAAGACAUUUCUGCAACCAAUUGCAUUACAAACCACAGGAGAGGGCAAAUUCUUCAGCAGGAUAGCACUGCUACUUCUACUUCAGCCUCCACAUCAAAGUUUGAAAGCAAAGAAGGUCAAGAUGCUCCAGGAUUGGCCAGCCCAGUCACCAGACAUGAACAUUAUUGAGCAUGUGUGGGGAAAGAUGAAGGAGGCAUUGAAGAUGAAUCCAAAGAAUCUUGAUGAACUCUGGGAGUCCUGCAAGAGCGCUUUCUUUGUCAUUCCAGAUGACUUUAUUAAUAAGUUACUGGAGUCAUACACAAAUUUAAUUAUUUUUCCAGUGCAGCAUGACUUUAUAUUCUAUACUGGACAUUAUUUCUGUUAAGUGUCAAGACUUCUGUCUAAGCAAAGUCAGACCUUACUGUCCUAAUUAAAAAAUUAAAAAUCAA